UGGGGAAUAUUGGACAAUGGGGGGAACCCUGAACCAGCCAUGCCGCGUGUGUGAAGAAGGCCUUAUGGUUGUAAAGCACUUUAAGCGAGGAGGAGGGUACUGGUAUUAAUACUACCAGGUACUGGACGUUACUCGCAGAAUAAGCACCGGCUAACUCUGUGCCAGCAGCCGCGGUAAUACAGAGGGUGAGAGCGUUAAUCGGAUUUACUGGGCGUAAAGCGUGCGUAGGCGGCUAAUUGAGUCGGAUGUGAAAUCCCCUGGCUUUACUUGGGAAUUUCAUUCGCUACUGGUUAGCUAGCGUGUGGGAGCUGAUGGUAGAAUUCCUGGUGUAGCUGUGAAAUGCGUAGAGAUCUGGAGGAAUACCGAUGGCGAAGGCAGCCAUCUGGCCUAACGCUGACUCUGAGGUACGAACGCAUGGGGAGCAAACAGG
rnacentral:rRNA from 1 species